UUUUUUUUUGAGUCUAAACACACUUUAUUAUUCAAAAAGUUCAUAGGGAUACAAUGAAUGUCUGGUGGGUUUAUAAGCCACAAAUGGCGCCCAAGAUUCAGACCGAAAGCGUGCUUAGCGAAACUAUGCGCCUCAAUAUUGGUGGAUCUACCUUCGAAGAUGAAGGUACAUUGAUGAAACAGAGAUUGGGCAAGGUAUUAAUUUAUUGGGCCGCAACUACUCUUCCAUGAUCUCCGUUUUCUUCUGGUCCAGUGUUCCGUCUCCUAAUUAUUUCGCCCUAGCUCUAGUUUCAUUCAGUUCAAUCCACUUCAGGCCAUUACAGCGCGUUUACUUCGCCAUGGGGCUCUUCCGCUGGAUGUAAUGGCAUUCAUCUGGACUUCUGAAAGUUCCUGCGUGAUAGGACAUAAAUAUUACCGGAUACCUCUUACUCCUAAAGUAUUUCCUUGCUUGAUUUUUCUGGCUAAUGGACCACCCAAACAAAUCUCAUGUAAGUAGGUACGACUGCGGUGGUGAUUUUUGCUUGUUCUUUUUGUGGGAAUGGCAUGAGCUAGGAGAGGCUUGGGAUCAAGGCGACUUAAGGUUGGAGUGGUGAUUGUCGUGCAUGAGGCCUUGUUGCAUGCUGUCUUGCCAUGGACCUUUCCAUAUCCUAGUGACCACGAGGCUUCUUAUCUGCCGAUUUGAUGAGCGAUGUGAGUAUUUCCUAGCCCAUGUGCCAUGGACUCAUGGUGAACAGGUGGGGUUAGGAUUUCUGGGUGGAUCCACCUGUCAUUGGCGGCGUGAGUGUUCUAUAUUUUUCUUCAUAUGGACGUGUUGGAUUCACUUAUGUACGAUAACCGCCUGUAAAGUCUGCUUCUGUACUACUACAUAUGAAUGUGCUAGGCUCAGUUCUACAGUGAUGUAUGGGCAAUGAUGCGCUGGCCAAUGGACAACUAAAUUCGGAAGUUUGAAUUUUUAGCACUCGAAUGGGUACAUCUAUGGUUUUUUAAUUACUUGUUGGUUUAAUGCAACUUUCAUAGCUACCUAAGAAGCUUGCAAACUGCUUAAUAUAAUCCAAGUUCACAAAUAAGUGGUAUUUCUGUUAUCGAUACAGUCUUUUAGAUGUAUGACCUCUAUCUUAUAUUGUCGUUAGUAUACACAUAAUAGCCCAGAAAUAAACAUUCCAUAAAUUUCUCAACAUCAAUAUACAUAUGAUUUUAAGUUUUCAGUCCAGAUAUUUCCCACAAUAUUCUCUAAACUUUGACUAAAGGUGUGUCUAGAACACAUUUUUUUGAGUUCUUGCACAUGGGGUAAGGGCUCCGGCCUUUGGGGAUAUCGCAUACGUAUACGAGAUCAGGGAUUUGUUUGAGUUCUUGCACAUUGGGUGCCUUUUAAAAGCGAGGUGGGUGAGAGUUUUUCUUGGAGUGAUCCGGUCACUCAUCACGAUCGCUCUGGAAAUUGGUGCAUCAAAUGACUGGGUUGUUCGGGUGAAAUGUUCCACUAUUUCUAGGGGCCAUCAAGCUGGCGAGCCCAAAAUACUAGAAAACCGCCUGCAAAUCGUACAACAUGUACUGACAUCAAGCAACAGCAACACUCUCUUUGGCUAGGGGAAAGUUCAACACAAGGAGCCAAUUUAUGCCGGAUGCUGCUUGCAACUUGCAACCAUGGACUGUCCCACUUGACACGGAUAUUACAGGUGGCAUUCGGGAUUUGUGUGGCCAUGAGAAAUCUACUUACCUACUUCAGGCCAUUCUAGCGCGUCUACUUCGCCAUGCGGUUCUUCCUCUGGAUGUAAUGGCAUCCAUCUGGACUUCUGAAAGUUCGUGUGCCGUAGGACAUAAAUAUUACCAAAUACCUCUUACUCCUGAAGUAUCUCCUUGUUUGAUUGUUCUGGCUAAUGGACCACCCAAACAAAUCCCACCUAAGUAGGUACGACUGACGUGGAGGUUUUUUCUUGUUCUUUUUGUGGGAGCGGCAUGAACUAGGAGAAGCUUGGGAUCAAGGCGACUUAAGGUGGGAGUGGUGAGCAUCGUGAGUGAGGCCUUGUUGCAUGCUGCCUUGCCAUGGACCUUUCGAUAUCCCAGUGACUAUGAGGCUUCUUAUCUGCCGAUUUGAUGAGUGAUGUGAGUAUUUCCUAACCCAUGUGCCAUGGACUCAUGGUGAACGGGUGGGGUUAGGAUUUCUGGGUGGACCCACCUGUCAGUGGCAGCAAGAGUGUUCUAUAUUUUUGUUCAUAUGGAUGUGUUGGGUUCACUUAUGUACGAUAACCUCCUGUAAAGUCUGCUUCUCUACUACUGCAUAUGGAUGUGCUAGGCUCAGUUGUACAGUGAUGCAUGGGCAAUGAUGUGCUAGCCAAUGGAGAAUUAAAUUCGGAAGUUUGAAUUUUUAGCACUCGAAUGACUACAGCUAGCUUUUUUGUUAGUUGCUCGAUGGUUGAAUGCAACUUUCAUAGCAACCUAAGAACCUGCAAACUGCUUAAUUAUAAUCCAAGUUCACGAAUAAGUGAUGUUUCUAUUAUUGAUAUGGUAUUUAAGAUGUAUGACCAUUGACCGCUAGCUUAUAUUGUCGUUAGUACAUACAGUACAUAAUAGCCCAAAAAUAAACAUUCCAGAAAUUUCUCGACACAAAUAUACAUAUGAGUUUUGUGAGUGGGAGGGAGUGCAUAUCAUCACACCACGAAAUUGCGGCAAAACCACAUUGGGGCAUUAUUUGAGCUGAUUCUGACAACAGAGGGUAGAAUAUGAAAUAGUUUUAUGUUUGAGAUGGUAAAGUAGGCUAUGUACCGAACAUGAGUGUUAAAUUUACAUUUGGUUCUUCCAGUUCACACAUGUAUAUUUUACUAUACUACUCCCUCUGAUCCAUAUUAAUUAUCGCAGCUUUAGUACAACUUUAGUACUAUUAAUUUCGAUUGGAGGGAGUACUACAAUUAAUUUUGAUUGGAGGGAGUACCAUUUUUCGUUUUGCCCAGAACCCAGAUGGUGUGAUACUGACAUUCUACGCUGGACAUGUUUCUCUAAUACAACAUGUCAUAGAUAUCAGCAACCGAUCCGUUGUCAUGGAGCUAUCCAGGUGAUUUCUAUGGAUUAUAUUGUUUUGAUUGUGCUUGGACGGAAGAACGGUUGAAAUAUGUAAGUGUAUGAUGCAAUGAUCAAUUAGUUGUGUAGUAUCAAACUGUGGAAUCUGCAUAUCUGUCAGCCUUAUAUGUGUAACAGUGCUAGUGCCACCUAAUUUGUUGGUAGAACCCAAUUAACACCUCAUGUGUCAUGUUUUACUUUGGAAUCCUUAUGUGUAGCAGCUCCAAGGAUCAUACGAAAAACAAAAGCACAGACAAGUCCAAUCAAUACACGUGGUUUAUAUGAUCUUUGGAAUAACAUGGAGCGGGGGCCUGCAGAAACUCAGCAUUAAGCAUUCUAAUAUUUAAUCAAAAUUAAGUAUCCACCCCCAUUGGAUCAAGGGAGGAUAGUAAUCCUUAUAAACAUAGAGACACAAGCCCCAAGAAAAAAUAUGGUAAGCAUGACUGGUCAAACACUGUCUAACAAUCUGCACUCGGCAUGUUGCUAUCCUACAGUAUGCUGUAGAUGUCCGCAAUCAAUUAUCUUUGAACAGUCUAGAUCAAGUGUACCAAGAUGUGGAUUCAAGUGUUAUCAUCAUGCAUCAAUCACACUGGUAACCAGAUUCCAUUUGAAAUGGAACGCGUAAGGAUAUCCCAAUGCCUCCAACUCCAAACAUUUGUAUAUGUGGUUGAUAUCUUUACCACCCCUCGUCUGUCAUUAUAAGCAGUAAUUGUUGUUUUUGUGGGCGCCAAACUUCUAGUGCGUGUGCAUAUGAUAAGAAUGGAAAGGCAGUGGGGUCUUUUAAAGGCAAGAUUUGUGCUACGAUUCAAAUAUGUACGAACAUAAGUACAAUGAUCAAUGUCGUAUCAAGUUGGAGAAUCUGUAUGUCUAUCAACCUUAUGUGAGUAACAGUGCUACAACAACCAAUUUAGUGGAACUGCGGCAGUACAAUCAAAACCUCAUGUCCUUUUUAUUGCAGCAAAACACAAUCAAACCUCGUAACAUUUUAAGUUAAGGACUAAGGCGGGCAAGAGCUAGCUUAAAAAAAUUCAUCAAUAAUAGGCACUAAAAAAAGUGUAUAUGAUGCUUGUCAAUUGUGAUCUCUCCAGAAUAGCAUGGAGCAGGGGCCUACAGAGCUCAGCUUUGGUUGAAUUAAAACUAUCAACAACCCACUGACUACAGAGAGGAUAGCAAUCCUUAUAAAUACAGACACUGGAAAUUUUGUGUAUUUACGUCAUUGUUGUUUUGAGUACACAUAAAAUCAAAAGUCUGCAUCGAUACAGUGGAAGUGUUCCAAGUUCAGUCGCCCUUCCUAAGAUUUACAAUUACAAUACGCACGGCACAGCAAAAGUUAGCUAAUGCUCAUAUGGCUCUGUAUUUACAACAUGCAUCGACCUCAAUGAAAAAUCUCAUCUCCCUCCAACUCAUCUAGCCCACAGCUGAGUUAGCAUCUUCUUCCAGGAUGAUGUGUGCCAGUAGUGCUGACUGCUAAGGCACAAAUUCUUCCUAGUUCGCCAAUGAACGAGCCCGAAUCCAUCCUAUGAGUCCUCCACGUUAUGCACCAGUUGUGGUUUUGUGGAUCUGUUCGUGCUAGGUAACCUAAGCUGCUCAUAGAGUACCCCAAAAAAAAAAGUUGAUCACUAUGUCUAGAACUGGGAUUGUUUAGCUACCAGUAAACUAUCAGCAAUCUUCUGGGAGUGCCAUGUGGUUAGC
rnacentral:lncRNA from 1 species